AUUGAACGCUGGCGGUAUGCUUAACACAUGCAAGUCGAACGGCAACAUGAUCUGUAGCAAUACAGAUUGAUGGCGAGUGGCGGACGGGUGAGUAACGCGUAGGAAUCUGCCCUCAAGCGGGGGACAACCCGAGGAAACUCGGGCUAAUACCGCAUAAACUCUGCGGAGUAAAGUUGGGGCAACCUGACACUUGAGGAGGAGCUUGCGUCCGAUUAGCUAGUUGGUGAGGUAAAAGCUCACCAAGGCGAUGAUCGGUAACUGGUCUGAGAGGAUGACCAGUCACACUGGGACUGAGACACGGCCCAGACUCCUACGGGAGGCAGCAGUGGGGAAUAUUGGACAAUGGGGGCAACCCUGAUCCAGCAAUACCGCGUGUGUGAAGACGGCCUUCGGGUUGUAAAGCACUUUAGUUGGGGAAGAAGGUGAGUGGUUUAAGAGAUGACUCAUUUGACUGUACCCAAAGAAUAAGCACCGGCUAACUCUGUGCCAGCAGCCGCCGUAA
rnacentral:rRNA from 1 species